UAGCGGCGGACGGGUGAGUAACACGUGGGUAACCUACCUAUAAGACUGGGAUAACUUCGGGAAACCGGAGCUAAUACCGGAUAAUAUUUAGCUUCGCAUGAAGCAAUAGUGAAAGACGGUUCUGCUGUCACUUAUAGAUGGACCCGCGGUGUAUUAGCUAGUUGGUGAGGUAACGGCUCACCAAGGCAACGAUACAUAGCCGACCUGAGAGGGUGAUCGGCCACACUGGGACUGACACACGGCCCAGACUCCUACGGGAGGCAGCAUAGGGAAUCUUCCGCAAUGGACGAAAGUCUGACGGAGCA
rnacentral:rRNA from 1 species